rnacentral:lncRNA from 1 species
UUUCUCACAUCGAUGUAAUCAGAUCAAAGGAUCUUGAGAACCAUCGAAGGUUGGAAAGUCUAAUAUAGUGUAGCAAGGAAUAACCACCUUACCUGGGUGAUGAUUUGUGCCUUGUGAAUGACUUCCCGCGUGAAAUGCUUGGGGCGGUUGUUUUCGCAGGUUAUGACUACUAGCAGUUCCUUCCGAAACGAUUCACAUGUUCUGACCAAUUCCAGCUUACAUCUCCUUCAAUUGCAAGGAUAACUCUUGCAGUUGACUACCUUAGCGUCUUUUGAUUCUUACUGUCUGUGCUUCAUUUGCGGCGAGAGCUUCCUUUACUAUCAAUUGUAAAUCUUCUAUUAUUGUAGAGUCGCACAUUGUGUUAGGCUCUGAUAUCAAAUUGUUAUAUUCCCUUAUUAAGGAUCAUGUCACCG